rnacentral:rRNA from 1 species
AUUGAACGCUGGCGGCAGGCUUAACACAUGCAAGUCGAGCGGAGAGAGGUAGCUUGCUACUGAUCUUAGCGGCGGACGGGUGAGUAAUGCUUAGGAAUCUGCCUAUUAGUGGGGGACAACAUUUCGAAAGGAAUGCUAAUACCGCAUACGUCCUACGGGAGAAAGCAGGGGAUCUUCGGACCUUGCGCUAAUAGAUGAGCCUAAGUCGGAUUAGCUAGUUGGUGGGGUAAAGGCCUACCAAGGCGACGAUCUGUAGCGGGUCUGAGAGGAUGAUCCGCCACACUGGGACUGAGACACGGCCCAGACUCCUACGGGAGGCAGCAGUGGGGAAUAUUGGACAAUAGGCGCAAGCCUGAUCCAGCCAUGCCGCGUGUGUGAAGAAGGCCUUAUGGUUGUAAAGCACUUUAAGCGAGGAGGAGGCUACUUUAGUUAAUACCUAGAGAUAGUGGACGUUACUCGCAGAAUAAGCACCGGCUAACUCUGUG